CCAAGACCGCCGCCUUUCCUCUAGCCUUCUCUCUUUACCCUGUUCGCCGUCAGCCUGUCACGGUGUCGACGUGUCACCUGAUCUCCAGCGGCGACCAGCAGAUUCAGAUAAUGAUGGAGUCAUGAAGGCCACAUAUUGGAUAUAGGCAUGGUGCAUCAGAAUCUCGUUACUGCAAGUAGUCUCCCGAAGCGCCAUCUAUAGGGUGAAAAAAUAAUUUAGAUGAUAUGCCUUACGACUCCGCUGAUUGGAAGAGAAUUUCAAAUUAUACAAGAAAUCCUAAGAAGUAGGAUGAGAUAAGGCGGACAUAUUUAAUUGGAGACCUUACAUGUCACCGCUUAAAUUUCAUUACCGCGGAAGGUCAAUGAAUGGUUUAAGGAAUAUGAUGGUUGGCUUGAGAACAAUGACAAGGUGCACAAAGAUCUUUUGUUUGUGUUGCUACCUUUUAACAGAGUACAUCGAGGGACAAGUUGGGAGUGAUAUAUUGGCAAGUAAUGCAUACGACGAUUGAAAGGGUACUCUCCGAAAAUAGAGAAGCUAAACCUGAAGUUAUUUGCUGUGUGCAAGCAUGUAAUUUUAUAAUUUCGUCCAACCGGAACUGAGAUCCUUGCUAUCAAAGAAGGUAUUAUGUUGGCCUCGCAAUGGAGCAGCCUCUCCAUAGACAUUGAAUCUAAUUGUCGUGAAGCAGUGAAGAUGGUGCAGAGUCAAGGAAGUAACAAAACAAGGUAUGCCCUUCUAGUGGAGGUCAAGGAGAAUCUGAACACGAUUCUUGUAUUACUCAUAUACAACGUUGUCAAAAUUCAGCUAGUCAUGUUAUGGUGAACUUUGGAAGGUCACGAACUGCAGUGUGGCUUGGAUCGAGUCCACAGGAAGUCAUUGAUAUUGUGUGUCGUGAUUGUAACACUUGAUUUUGAGUAAUACAAGAAUUAUUCACAAAA